GGAACUAGGCAAAAUGGUACCGUAACUUCGGGAGAAGGUACGCUGCCGACGGUGAAACCCUCGCGGUGUAAGCUGUUGGCAGUCGCAGAUACCAGGCCGCUGCAACUGUUUAUUAAAAACACAGCACUCUGCAAACACGAAAGUGGACGUAUAGGGUGUGAUGCCUGCCCGGUGCUGGAAGGUUAAUUGAUGGGGUUAGCGUAAGCGAAGCUCUUGAUCGAAGCCCCAGUAAACGGCGGCCGUAACUAUAACGGUCCUAAGGUAGCGAAAUUCCUUGUCGGGUAAGUUCCGACCUGCACGAAUGGCAUAAUGAUGGCGGCGCUGUCUCCAGCAGAGACUCAGUGAAAUCGAAAUCGCAGUGAAGAUGCUGUGUACCCGCGGCUAGACGGAAAGACCCCGUGAACCUUUACUACAGCUUUACAUUGAACUUUGACCUUACCUGUGUAGGAUAGGUGGGAGGCUUUGAAGCAGGCACGCCAGUGUCUGUGGAGCCAUCCUUGAAAUACCACCCUGGUAAUGUUGGGGUUCUAACUCAAGCUUAACAGAGCUGAGGACAAUGUAUGGUGGGUAGUUUGACUGGGGCGGUCUCCUCCUAAAGAGUAACGGAGGAGUACGAAGGUGCGCUCAGAACGGUCGGAAAUCGUUCGAAGAGUAUAAAGGCAAAAGCGCGCUUAACUGCGAGACCCACAAGUCGAGCAGAUACGAAAGUAGGUCUUAGUGAUCCGGUGGUUCUGUAUGGAAGGGCCAUCGCUCAACGGAUAAAAGGUACUCUGGGGAUAACAGGCUGAUACCGCCCAAGAGUUCAUAUCGACGGCGGUGUUUGGCACCUCGAUGUCGGCUCAUCUCAUCCUGGGGCUGAAGCAGGUCCCAAGGGUAUGGCUGUUCGCCAUUUAAAGAGGUACGCGAGCUGGGUUUAGAACGUCGUGAGACAGUUCGGUCCCUAUCUACCGUGGGCGUUGGAAAUUUGAGAGGAUCUGCUCCUAGUACGAGAGGACCAGAGUGGACGAACCUCUGGUGUUUCGGUUGUGACGCCAGUCGCAUUGCCGAGUAGCUAUGUUCGGAUGGGAUAACCGCUGAAAGCAUCUAAGCGGGAAGCCCACCUUAAGAUUAGAUUUCCCUAAAGAGCCGUUGUAGACUACGACGUUGAUAGGUUGGGUGUGGAAGCAUAGUGAUAUGUGUAGCUAACCAAUACUAAUUGCUCGUUUGGCUUGACUAU
rnacentral:rRNA from 1 species